CGCGCCACCGCCGGUUACGAUUUGAACGCUUUCACUUUCGAUCCUAUCAAGGAAUCGAUCGUCUCUCGUGAGAUGACCAGGAGGUACAUGACUGAUAUGAUUACUUUCGCUGAGACUGACGUCGUCGUCGUUGGUGCUGGAUCUGCUGGUUUGUCUUGUGCUUAUGAGAUCAGUAAGAACCCUAAUGUUCAGGUUGCUAUUAUCGAGCAAUCCGUUAGUCCCGGUGGUGGUGCUUGGCUCGGUGGUCAGCUUUUCUCCGCCAUGGUGAGAUUAGAUUUUUUUAUUGAUUUGCAUGUCAGAUUAGUUCGAUCAUUUAUCAUCCGGAGAGUUCUGAUUCUGAUUUAAUGGCGAUUUAGGUUUAGAUUGAAUCACUCAAUUUAGAGUUUUAUUCUUCUGGGAUUUGAUUGUUGUGUUUGUAUGGCAGAUUGUUCGCAAACCAGCUCACUUGUUCCUUGACGAGAUUGGUGUUGCUUACGAUGAGCAAGACAACUACGUUGUGGUUAAGCACGCUGCUCUGUUCACAUCUACAAUCAUGAGCAAGCUUUUGGCUCGUCCUAACGUGAAGCUCUUCAACGCCGUGGCUGCUGAGGAUCUGAUCGUGAAAGGAAACAGAGUUGGUGGUGUGGUGACUAACUGGGCUCUUGUGGCUCAGAACCACGACUCACAGUCGUGCAUGGACCCUAACGUCAUGGAGGCCAAGAUUGUGGUGAGCUCUUGUGGACAUGAUGGUCCUUUUGGAGCCACUGGUGUCAAGAGGUUGAAGAGCAUUGGCAUGAUCGAUCAUGUUCCUGGGAUGAAGGCUUUGGACAUGAACACUGCUGAAGACGCUAUUGUGAGAUUGACCAGAGAGGUUGUUCCUGGUAUGAUUGUGACCGGUAUGGAAGUUGCUGAGAUCGAUGGUGCCCCAAGAAU
rnacentral:lncRNA from 1 species